rnacentral:rRNA from 1 species
AUAGCAAUAUGGGCCUGGUGAUAGUGGCGAAAGGGUGAGUAACGCAUGGGCAACCUGCCUCCAAGAUGGGGAUAACCCCGCGAAAGCGGGGCUAAUACCGAAUGUGGUCCAUCCCUCGCAUGGGGGAUGGACUAAAGGUGGGGACCCUUCGGGGCCUGUCGCUUGGUGAGGGGCCCGCUUGCCAUCAGCUUGUUGGUAGGGUAACGGCCUACCAAGGCUUACGGCUAGCUGGUCUUAGAGGAUGGUCAGCCACACUGGGACUGAGACACUGCCCAGACUCCUACGGGAGGCUGCAGUCGAGAUCAUUCGCAAUGGGCGAAAGCCUGACGAUGCGACGCUGCGUGGAGGAUGAAGGCCUUCGGGUUGUAAACUCCUGUCGAUCGGGAAAAACGAUUCCGGGGAGAAUGCCCCCGGGAAGUGAUGGUACCGGAAGAGGAAGCGGCUGCUAACUCUGUGCCAGCAGCAGCGGUAAUACAGAGGCCGCAAGCGUUGUUCGGAUUCACUGGGCGUAAAGGGUGCGUAGGCGGUUCCGUGUGUCGGAUGUGAAAGCCUGUGGCUCAACUGCAGAAAGUCAUCUGAAACUACGGGGCUAGAGUCCAGGAUGGGAGAGCGGAAUUCAUGGUGUAGCGGUGAAAUGCGUUGAUAUCAUGAAGAACACCGGUGGCGAAGGCGGCUCUCUGGAAUGCGACUGACGCUGAGGCACGAAAGCGUGGGGAGCAAACAGGAUUAGAUACCCUGGUAGUCCACGCCUUGAACGGUGCGCACUUGGUGUUGGAGGUAUUGACCCCUCCAGUGCCGGAGUUAACACGUUAAGUGCGCCGCCUGGGGAGUACGGCCGCAAGGCUAAAACUCAAAGAAAUUGACGGGGGCCCGCACAAGCGGAGGAGCAUGUGGCUCAAUUCGAUGCAACGCGAAGAACCUUACCAGGGCUUGACAUGCAGCUGCACGCCCCGUGAAAGCGGGGAAGCCUUCGAGGGUGCUGCACAGGUGCUGCAUGGCUGUCGUCAGUUCGUGCCGUGAGGUGUUGGGUUAAGUCCCGCAACGAACGCAACCCUUGUGGCUAGUUGCCACCGCCGGUGUUGAAUCGGCGAGCGCUCUAGCCAGACUGCCUGUACAAGCAGGAGGAAGGUGGGGACGACGUCAAGUCAGUAUGGCCCUUACGUCCUGGGCUGCACACGUGCUACAAUGGCCGGUACAGAGGGCGGCAAGACCGCGAGGUGGAGCUAAUCCCUAAAAACCGGCCUCAGUUCAGAUUGCAGUCUGCAACUCGACUGCAUGAAGUCGGAUUCGCUAGUAACGGCGCAUCAGCUACGGCGCCGUGAAUACGUUCCCGGGCCUUGUACACACCGCCCGUCACAUCAUGAAAGCCGUCUGCACCCGUAGUCGCCGUGCCAAC